rnacentral:rRNA from 1 species
AGACGGUAGGGUAUUGGCCUACCGUGGCUAUGACGGGUAACGGGGAAUUAGGGUUCGAUUCCGGAGAGGGAGCCUGAGAAACGGCUACCACAUCUAAGGAAGGCAGCAGGCGCGCAAAUUACCCAAUCCUAAUACAGGGAGGUAGUGACAAGAAAUAACAAUACAGAGCCUUACGGUUUUGUAAUUGGAAUGAGUUAAGUAUAAACCCCUUAACAAGUAUCAAUUGGAGGGCAAGUCUGGUGCCAGCAGCCGCGGUAAUUCCAGCUCCAAUAGCGUAUAUUAAAGUUGUUGCAGUUAAAAAGCUCGUAGUUAAUUUUCUGUUAAUUUUUAUAUACAAUACUUACGGUAUUUAUAUAAUAUUAACAUAAUUCAUAUUACUUUUUAGUAUAUGAAACUUUACUUUGAGAAAAUUAGAGUGCUUAAAGCAGGCUAUUGCCUUGAAUACUCCAGCAUGGAAUAAUAUUAAGGAUUUUUAUUCUUCUUAUUGGUUCUAGAAUAAAAAUAAUGAUUAAUAGGGACAGUUGGGGGCAUUUGUAUUUAACAGUCAGAGGU